AGAGUUUGAUCCUGGCUCAGAUUGAACGCUGGCGGCAGGCCUAACACAUGCAAGUCGAGCGGAUGAAGAGAGCUUGCUCUCUGAUUCAGCGGCGGACGGGUGAGUAAUGCCUAGGAAUCUGCCUGGUAGUGGGGGACAACGUUUCGAAAGGAACGCUAAUACCGCAUACGUCCUACGGGAGAAAGCAGGGGACCUUCGGGCCUUGCGCUAUCANAUGGGCCUAGGUCGGAUUAGCUAGUUGGUGAGGUAAGGGCUCACCAAGGCGACGAUCCGUAACUGGUCUGAGAGGAUGAUCAGUCACACUGGAACUGAGACACGGUCCAGACUCCUACGGGAGGCAGCAGUGGGGAAUAUUGGACAAUGGGCGAAAGCCUGAUCCAGCCAUGCCGCGUG
rnacentral:rRNA from 1 species